UACGUAGGGUGCAAGCGUUGUCCGGAAUUAUUGGGCGUAAAGAGCUCGUAGGCGGUUUGUCGCGUCUGCUGUGAAAACGCGAGGCUCAACCUCGCGCCUGCAGUGGGUACGGGCAGACUAGAGUGCGGUAGGGGAGACUGGAAUUCCGUGGUGUAGCGGUGAAAUGCGCAGAUAUCAGGAGGAACACCGGUGGCGAAGGCGGAUACCUGGAAGAUUCCUGACUCUGAAACACGGAAAGCCAGGGGAGCAAACGGG
rnacentral:rRNA from 1 species